rnacentral:rRNA from 1 species
UCGCCAGACUCCUACGGGAGGCAGCAGUGGGGGAUAUUGCACAAUGGGGGGAACCCUGAUGCAGCGACGCCGCGUGGGUGAAGAAGCGCCUCGGCGCGUAAAGCCCUGUCAGCAGGGAAGAAAAUGACGGUACCUGAAGAAGAAGCCCCGGCUAACUACGUGCCAGCAGCCGCGGUAAUACGUAGGGGGCAAGCGUUAUCCGGAUUUACUGGGUGUAAAGGGGGCGCAGACGGCGAUGCAAGCCAGGAGUGAAAGCCCGGGGCCCAACCCCGGGACUGCUCUUGGAACUGCGUGGCUGGAGUGCAGGAGGGGCAGGCGGAAUUCCUGGUGUAGCGGUGAAAUGCGUAGAUAUCACACAGAACACCGAUUGCGAAGGCAUCUGACGAAUCGGAGAUUGACGCUGAUGCACGAAAGCGUGGGUAUCGAACAGGAUUAGAUACCCGAGUAGCC